AAACAGAAAUAUCCAAGAAAACAACUAUAGUCCCAGGUUACCUGGUUGGUAGCUGGUACAGUGGGGCCAGAGCCCACACACAAGCAUUUCCCAGCAACAAAGAAGGCGAUAUGUUCCAGUGCUUCUGGUGAUGUGAGAUGGCACAAAAGACAUGCUGG
rnacentral:lncRNA from 1 species